rnacentral:sRNA from 1 species
CUGCGUUGCCUUUCUGGAAGUUUCCUCCCUAAGACUUGGCGGUCCCUGUGAGGGACCGCCAUUUUUCCAUAAUUC